UUAACACCAUUAUCUCCUACAUCGAUGACCAGUUUGAGCGCUACCUGCAUGACGAGAGUGGACUCAACCGCAGGCACAUUGUGGACAACCGUGUGCACUGCUGCUUCUACUUCAUUUCCCCUCUGGGUCACGGGAUGAAGCCUCUAGAUGUCCAAUUCAUGAAGGCCAUUCACAACAAAGUGAAUGUCGUUCCUGUUAUUGCUAAAGCAGAUACGCUGACACUGAGGGAGAGAGAGAGACUCAAGCGCAGGAUUCUGGAUGAAAUCGAUGAGCAUGGCAUCAAGAUCUAUCA